rnacentral:rRNA from 1 species
GAGAUGGAGUUGGUGCCUUCGGGAACUCUGACACAGGUGCUGCAUGGCUGUCGUCAGCUCGUGUCGUGAGAUGUUGGGUUAAGUCCCGCAACGAGCGCAACCCUUGCCUUUAGUUGCCAGCAGUUCGGCUGGGCACUCUAAAGGGACUGCCGGUGUUAAACCGGAGGAAGGUGGGGAUGACGUCAAGUCCUCAUGGCCUUUAUGACCAGGGCUACACACGUACUACAAUGGCCGAUACAAAGGGCAGCGACACUGCGAGGUGAAGCCAAUCCCGUAAAAUCGGUCUCAGUCCGGAUUGGAGUCUGCAACUCGACUCCAUGAAGUUGGAAUCGCUAGUAAUCGUGGAUCCAGCAUGCCACGGUGAAUACGUUCCCGGCCUU